GACGAACGCUGGCGGCGUGCUUAACACAUGCAAGUGGAGCGACGAAACCGGGCUUGCCCGGUGGCAGAGCCGCGAACGGGUGAGUAACACGUGGGUAACCUGCCCCGAUGAUUGGGACAACUCCGGGAAACCGGAGCUAAUACCAAAUGUGUUCACAUUCCUGCAGGGGUGUGAGGAAAGGAAGCUUCGGCCUCCGCAUCGGGAUGGGCCCGCGGCCCAAUAGCUUGUUGGUGGGGGAAUGGCCUACCACGGCGACGAUGGGUAGCUGGUCUGAGAGGACUGUGAGCCACACUGGGACUGAGACACGGCCGAGGGUCCUACGGGAGGCAGCAGUGGGGAAUCUUGCGGAACGCGCGAAAGCGUGACGCAGCAACGCCGCGUGCGGGAAGACGGCCUUCGGGUUGUAAACCGCUUUCAGUUGGGACGAAGCUGCGCCGGUGAAUAGCCGGCUGGAGUGACGGUACCUUCACAAGAAGCACCAGCUAACUACGUGCCAGCCGCCGCAGUAC
rnacentral:rRNA from 1 species